UUUAGUCUAAGUGUGGUCUCCUGAGAGAGGUUUCUACUGGCUUCCUCAACCUACUUAUGUGGGUUCUGGUAAAUGUCUGGUUUCCCUCACCAGGUAUGUUCACUCAAGUGAAUCUAAAGAGCCGGUCACUAGUUCCUGAGAUCUCCCGAAGAGAGCAGGUACUCACAAAAUAUUUGCUGAACCAUUAAAGGAAAAGAUGAAUGCUUUAAUCAGGAUGGGAUGUUGUUGACACUGGCAGUGCUGCUGACAAAAGGGAGUCUGGGGUCCAUCAGUCUGCAUCUAGUUUAGAGUCUGUGACUCACUGCAUGGAAGCUGUUCACCAGAGGUUCCCUCUAUCAUAUGUCUGCCUGGAGCUCUGAUUUCUGCAACUUCAGGAAGAGAAAGUGCCUGGCAGAGCUCAUGGUAUAGCGAUAGAAAUGAACUGCUGUUUGCCCAAAGGGGGUAAAGGAAGUGAGAAGAGCCAGUGUGAGGCAUGAACACAUGAAAGAGCAUGAUGUGUUAGGCUGUAUUUGGAUAUCAAAACAUGGUCAGCUGCCCAAGCUUCAGUGGGCUCUGGAGGAAAAAGGAAUGUGCUCUGGGGUGUCACUAAUGGAGGAUGCAGAGGAGGAAAAGGGUACCUCAAGUCUGGUUCCAAUUCUCCAUCAGCAAUGGCUGUCGCUCAUUUUGCUGUCUAAUAGUCUAAGAACACAUACAUUUAGCUACUGAAAAAAAAAUGGAUUCUUUUCUCAAGAUUACUUAGUCUCAAGAAUCCUGAAAUUUAUAUGUUAUUUCUUCCAAAAUAAAAACCUUGGCCUUAUUAUACUAAAUAGCAAUUUGUCUCUUUCCUGGGCCUGGGUUACAUUUACAAAUUCUCUUGUUCUAAUUGAAAAUUUUUCCUGUGAACCAUAUGAGACAAAUGUAACCAAUUAAACACAAUUUCUCUGAUUCUUAAAAAAUGUCCUGCUUAGUUGUGGAGGAGUGUUGGGUGGGGAGUAUUUGAUGCAUCUCUUAGCCUUUCCUUAUUUUUUCCUCCCUCCAUUUUUUUACUUUAAAUGCAAAAGGAACACAUAGA